GGAGGAUUGGCCGAGUGGAAAUGGCACAUCCCUGCUAAGGAUUGGUUGGGGUAAUACCCUCACAGGUUCGAUCCCUGUAUCCUCCG
rnacentral:tRNA from 1 species